GUUUACUUUUCUGCAUUGGCUAGAGGUAUAGGGGGAGGGUUGCGAAAAAACUUGCGAUCUCAUAAACAUGUUUAACCCGCCUAAUUUUUGGGCCUGUCCCAAGUCAGGAGCCUCUGGCCUUUGUUGGUCUUGUAUUUCUUUUUAAUUUUAGUUUCUUGUGUACAAUUUGGAGUUUAGUAUGGCAUUCAUUAUCACUGAACUAGUAUAUAUAUUUGUUUAGGGGCCAGCUGAAGGAUGCCUCUGGGUGCGGGAAUUUCUCGCUGCAUUGAAGACCUGUUGGUAACCUUCUGCUGUUGUCUGCUCUAUGGUUGGAUUGUUGUCUCUUUGACACAUUCCCCAUUUCCAUUCUCAAUUUUAUAUCAUGAGCAAAGAAAGAUAACUCCAACUCAAAUUUAUAAUUUGCCUAGCUAAAUACUAUUCAAUGUUUUAUCUAAAAUACACAAAAUAGCAAAAUGAAAGCAACCUUUACCUUCAGUGCUCACAAGCACUUUGAUUCAUUAUUUCUUUGUAUCAUGAAUGAUGCAUAUGAAAUUGAUAUAAGAUACAAUACUUCCUUCCUCCAAAUAAUUUAAUUUAUUGAGUCUUGAAUUAUAAGCACUUCUUACAAAUAAAUGUAUGUGCAUUAGUUUGUUGAAAUGUCAGUUGAGUUAUUGUAUAUGGUUAAAUAUGUCCAGAUUGUAUCAUUCAAGGAUAGGUUUUCUCUUAUGUAUUCCACCACUUUUAAGUCCUUGCAGGUAGUUCUGAAGGACUUAAAGUCUAUCUGCACAUAAGUUCUUUUAUUUAUCAUGAUUGAAGAACAAACAAAAACCAUGGUUGUCUUGUUGACUGUUAACCUU
rnacentral:lncRNA from 1 species